ensembl:snRNA U6 U6 spliceosomal RNA
CUGCCGCCGCAGCAGCAGAUCUACUAAAAUUGGAAAGACACAGAGAAGAUCUAUAUCUUCUGUGCGCACCUUCGAUACUAGCAUGGCCUCAGCAAGGGUGAUGCAAAUUUGUGACAAGGUCCCUAUUUUA